rnacentral:rRNA from 1 species
AUUGAACGCUGGCGGCAUGCCUUACACAUGCAAGUCGAACGGUAACGGGCCUUCGGGUGCCGACGAGUGGCGAACGGGUGCGCAAUACAUCGGAACGUGCCCGAUCGUGGGGGAUAACGAGGCGAAAGCUUUGCUAAUACCGCAUACGAUCUACGGAUGAAAGCAGGGGACCGCAAGGCCUUGCGCGGACGGAGCGGCCGAUGGCAGAUUAGGUAGUUGGUGGGAUAAAAGCUUACCAAGCCGACGAUCUGUAGCUGGUCUGAGAGGAUGAUCAGCCACACUGGGACUGAGACACGGCCCAGACUCCUACGGGAGGCAGCAGUGGGGAAUUUUGGACAAUGGGCGCAAGCCUGAUCCAGCCAUGCCGCGUGCAGGAUGAAGGCCUUCGGGUUGUAAACUGCUUUUGUACGGAACGAAAAGCCUUCUUUUAAUACAGGAGGGUCAUGACGGUACCGUAAGAAUAAGCACCGGCUAACUACGUG